rnacentral:rRNA from 1 species
UACGUAGGGUGCGAGCGUUAAUCGGAAUUACUGGGCGUAAAGCGUGCGCAGGCGGUGAGUUAAGUCUGAUGUGAAAUCCCCGGGCUUAACCUGGGAAUGGCAUUCGGGACUGCAAGGCUGGAGUGCGGCAGAGGAGACUGGAAUUCCUGGUGUAGCAGUGAAAUGCGUAGAGAUGCGGAGGAACACCGAUGGCGAAGGCAGCCCCCUGGGCCAACACUGACGCUCAGGCACGAAAGCGUGGGGAGCAAACAGG